rnacentral:lncRNA from 1 species
CACAAUUGCAUGUUUGAGUUCAAAUUUUGAAUCACAAAAGGCUUUAAGAGAUUUUGUUUACAUCCCUGUAACCUUUGAAUUUUCAAACCAAUAGGGUUGAUGCAUAAAAAGGGUUUAAUGCAUAUAUAAGCUAUCCCAUAAUUUUUGGUUAACUAAUUGGAGUUGAAAAAGUAUUUUAUUCAAACAGAUAUAUAGCCCUAAAGUCAUUUAUAGGGCAAAUGUAUUUUUAUAUAUUUUAUUUUGAAGAGAAACUACUUCCAAAAAGUUGUAUCAUGGUAGAACAUGAUUUUACAAAUUUUCUGGAAUUUAUUUGGACCAAUUUGGAGUUCAAACACAAAAGAUAUCAAAGAAAUGAGAAAAACAGAAAAAGAAAAGGCCUAAAAGGAAAAAAAAAAGGGAUAAACCAGACCGGCCCAGCCAAAAUGGGCCGAACCGGCCCAGUCCGACCGCGCCCGACCGGCCCAAACCGCCCGGUCCGCGCGCGCGCCCGCAGUCGCUGACAGGUGGGGUCCACCUGUCAGCUGCGUCUUCCUCGAAGGAAAGCGCCGCCGGUCACGCGCGCGAAUUCCGGCCGCCGUCCUCGCGCGCCCGCCGCCGCAAUCUCCUCCUCCGGCCUUCCAUUUUCAUGCCCGAGCACUCCUUUAUAACCCCCGCGACCUCCUCUCUCUUUCCCCCUUGUUUCCCCAUCCAAUCGCGCCGCCGGGCUGCCCCGAUUUCUCGCCGGAGCCGUGCCCGCGCCGCCGCCCAUCUUCGUCCUCGGCGCCGUCCCCGACCGUCCCUGACCGCGCCUCGUCUCCGCCGGGCCGCGCCGCACCUCCCCGUGUCUUCCCCGUCGC